rnacentral:rRNA from 1 species
UUGGAGGGCAAGUCUGGUGCCAGCAGCCGCGGUAAUUCCAGCUCCAAUAGCGUAUAUUAAAGUUGUUGCAGUUAAAAAGCUCGUAGUUGAAUUUCGAGAUCAGUACGCUGGUCGUGCCUUCGGUAUGCACUGGUGUCACUGGUUUCUCCCUUCUGAAGAACCGUCAUGUCAUUAAGUUGGUGUGGCGGGGAAUCAGGACUGUUACUUUGAAAAAAUUAGAGUGUUUAAAGCAGGCUCGCGCUUGAAUACAUUAGCAUGGAAUAAUGAAAUAGGACGUUUGACCCUAUUUUGUUGGUUUCUAGGAUCGACGUAAUGAUUAAUAGGGAUAGUUGGGGGCAUUAGUAUUCAAUUGUCAGAGGUGAAAUUCUUGGAUUUAUUGAAGACUAACUACUGCGAAAGCAUUUGCCAAGGAUGUUUUCGUUAAUCAAGAACGAAAGUUAGGGGAUCGAAGACGAUCAGAUACCGUCGUAGUCUUAACCAUAAACUAUGCCGACUAGGGAUCGGAUGAUGUUAAUUUUUUAAUGACUCAUUCGGCGCCUUACGGGAAACCAAAGUGUUUGGGUUC